GACGAACGCUGGCGGCGUGCCUAAUACAUGCAAGUCGAACGCUUCUUUCCUCCCGAGUGCUUGCACUCAAUUGGAAAGAGGAGUGGCGGACGGGUGAGUAACACGUGGGUAGCCUACCCAUCAGAGGGGGAUAACACUUGGAAACAGGUGCUAAUACCGCAUAACAGUUUAUGCCGCAUGGCAUAAGAGUGAAAGGCGCUUUCGGGUGUCGCUGAUGGAUGGACCCGCGGUGCAUUAGCUAGUUGGUGAGGUAACGGCUCACCAAGGCCACGAUGCAUAGCCGACCUGAGAGGGUGAUCGGCCACACUGGGACUGAGACACGGCCCAGACUCCUACGGGAGGCAGCAGUAGGGAAUCUUCGGCAAUGGACGAAAGUCUGACCGAGCAACGCCGCGUGAGUGAAGAAGGUUUUCGGAUCGUAAAACUCUGUUGUUAGAGAAGAACAAGGACGUUAGUAACUGAACGUCCCCUGACGGUAUCUAACCAGAAAGCCACGGCUAACUACGUG
rnacentral:rRNA from 1 species